GCGGGUAUAGUUUAGUGGUAAAAGUGUGAUUCGUUCUAUUAACCCCUUAAUAGUUAAGGGGUCCUCGGUUUGAUUAAUAUAAGCCCCUAGCCUUCCAAGCUAACGAUGCGGGUUCGAUUCCCGCUACCCGC
rnacentral:tRNA from 1 species